GACAGAGGGUGCAAACGUUGCUCGGAAUUACUGGGCGUAAAGCGCGUGUAGGUGGUUCCGCGAGUCAGGUGUGAAAUCCCUCGGCUUAACCGAGGAACUGCCCUCCAAACUGCUUGGCUUGAGUCCGGGAGAGGUGAGUGGAAUUCCCAGUGUAGCGGUGAAAUGCGUAGAUAUUGGGAGGAACACCAGUGGCGAAGGCGGCUCACUGGACCGGAACUGACGCUGAGGCGCGAAAGCGUGGGGAGCAAACGGG
rnacentral:rRNA from 1 species